rnacentral:rRNA from 1 species
AUGGCCGGCGGCGGCGGCGACGCGGCGAAAUCGGGAACGGGGAGGCAUGGCGGCGGGCGGGUGUGCCAGAUCUGCGGCGACGGCGUGGGCGCGGCGGCGGACGGCGAGCUCUUCGCCGCCUGCGACGUCUGCGCCUUCCCCGUCUGCCGGCCCUGCUACGAGUACGAGCGCAAGGAGGGCACCCAGGCCUGCCCGCAGUGCAAGACCAAGUACAAGCGCCACAAGGGCAGCCCACCAGCACGUGGGGAUGAAAGCGAGGACGAUGCCAGUGACUUCAACUACCCAGCUUCUGCCAACCAGGAUCAGAAAAACAAGGUUCCUGAGAAGAUGCUCACCUGGCGCAGGAACUCGGGAGCCAGUGAUGAUAUUGGCCUCACUAAGUUUGGCAGCGGUGAGAUCGGGCUUCACAAGUAUGACAGCGGAGAAAUCCCUCAUGGAUACAUCCCGCGCUUCUCUCAUAGCCAGGUUGUCUCAGGAGAGAUUUCUGGAGCUUCCCCCGAUCAUAUGUUGUCCCCUGCUGGAAAUGUUGGCAAGCGCGGACAUCCAUUUGCCUAUGUGAACCAUUCUUCAAAUCCAUCAAGGGAGUUCUCUGGCAGCCUUGGCAAUGUUGCGUGGAAAGAGAGAGUUGAUGGCUGGAAAAUGAAAGACAAGGGUGCAAUUCCCAUGACUAAUGGAACAAGCAUCGCUCCUUCUGAAGGCCGUGGAAAUGGUGAUAUCGAUGCAUGCACUGACUAUGGCAUGGAAGACCCCUUACUGAAUGAUGAAACUCGCCAGCCUCUGUCUAGAAAAGUGCCAAUUCCUUCAUCCAGAAUAAAUCCCUACAGGAUGGUCAUUGUGCUACGAUUGAUUGUCCUCUGCAUCUUCCUGCACUACCGUAUCACAAACCCUGUCCGUAAUGCAUAUCCACUUUGGCUGCUGUCCGUGAUAUGUGAGAUUUGGUUUGCUUUUUCCUGGAUUUUGGAUCAGUUCCCCAAGUGGUCUCCAGUCAAUCGUGAAACUUACCUUGAUAGGCUGGCUUUAAGGUAUGACCGGGAUGGUGAGUUGUCUCAGCUGGCUCCUGUUGACAUUUUUGUCAGUACUGUGGAUCCUAUGAAGGAGCCUCCUCUUGUCACUGCAAAUACUGUGCUUUCUAUCCUUGCUGUGGACUACCCUGUUGACAAAGUAUCUUGCUAUGUAUCUGAUGAUGGAGCUGCGAUGCUUACCUUUGAUGCACUUGCUGAGACUUCAGAGUUCGCUAGAAAAUGGGUACCGUUUUGUAAAAAGUAUAACAUAGAACCCAGAGCACCAGAGUGGUACUUUGCUCAGAAAAUUGAUUUCUUGAAAGACAAAGUUCAGACUUCAUUCAUUAAAGAUCGUCGAGCCAUGAAGAGAGAAUAUGAAGAGUUCAAAGUUCGCGUCAAUAGCCUGGUAGCCAAGGCCGAGAAAGUUCCUGAGGAAGGAUGGAUCAUGCAAGAUGGCACACCUUGGCCUGGGAACAAUACUAGGGACCAUCCUGGAAUGCUUCGGGUUUUCCUUGGUCAUAGUGGAGGCCUUGAUAGUGACGGCAAUGAGCUUCCUCGUUUGGUUUAUGUGUCUCGUGAGAAACGUGCUGGAUUCCAGCACCACAAGAAAGCUGGUGCCAUGAAUGCCCUUGUUCGUGUAUCAGCUGUCCUUACUAAUGGGCAGUACAUGUUGAAUCUUGAUUGUGAUCACUACAUCAACAAUAGCAGCGCUCUAAGAGAGGCUAUGUGCUUUCUUAUGGACCCUAACCUAGGGAGGAAAAUCUGUUAUGUCCAGUUUCCUCAGAGGUUCGAUGGAAUUGAUACGAAUGAUAGAUAUGCAAACAGGAACACUGUAUUUUUUGAUAUUAACUUGAGGGGUCUUGAUGGCAUCCAAGGACCAGUUUAUGUGGGGACUGGUUGCGUGUUCAACAGAACAGCUUUAUAUGGUUAUGAACCCCCGAUGAAGAGCAAGGAGUCAGGUUUAUUCUCUAAGCUUUGUGGGGGUAGAACCUCAAAAUCGAAAAGCACAGGAAGUAAGAAGUCAGAUAAGCAUGCGGACGGUUCUGUGCCAGUGUUCAAUCUUGAAGAUAUAGAGGAGGGUAUUGAAGGUUCUGGAUUUGACGACGAGAAAUCACUUCUUAUGUCUCAAAUGAGCCUGGAGAAGAGAUUUGGCCAGUCCAGUGUUUUCGUAGCCUCCACUCUAAUGGAGUACGGUGGUGUUCCCCAGUCUGCAACUCCAGAGUCUCUUCUGAAAGAAGCAAUCCAUGUCAUCAGCUGUGGUUAUGAGGACAGAAGUGAUUGGGGAAGGGAGAUUGGUUGGAUCUAUGGUUCUGUUACAGAAGAUAUUCUUACCGGGUUCAAGAUGCAUGCACGCGGCUGGCGGUCAAUCUACUGCAUGCCUAAGCGACCAGCUUUCAAGGGGUCUGCCCCCAUCAACCUUUCGGAUCGUCUGAACCAAGUGCUUCGGUGGGCGCUUGGUUCGGUGGAAAUUCUUUUCAGUAGGCAUUGUCCCAUAUGGUAUGGCUAUGGCGGACGGCUUAAAUUCCUGGAGAGAUUUGCUUACAUCAACACCACUAUCUAUCCACUCACAUCAAUACCACUCCUCAUAUACUGCAUAUUACCAGCUGUUUGUCUUCUCACGGGAAAGUUUAUCAUCCCACAGAUUAGCAACAUUGCCAGUAUAUGGUUUAUCUCUCUCUUUAUUUCAAUCUUCGCCACUGGUAUCCUUGAGAUGAGGUGGAGUGGUGUUGGCAUCGACGAGUGGUGGAGGAAUGAACAGUUCUGGGUCAUCGGAGGCAUUUCUGCACAUCUAUUUGCUGUCUUCCAAGGUCUUCUGAAGGUACUUGCUGGUAUCGACACCAGCUUCACUGUCACUUCAAAAGCAUCCGAUGAAGAUAAUGAUUUUGCCGAGCUCUACAUGUUCAAGUGGACGACUCUUCUGAUCCCACCAACAACUAUCUUGAUCAUCAACCUUGUCGGAGUUGUGGCUGGUACCUCCUACGCGAUCAACAGCGGCUAUCAGUCAUGGGGCCCACUUUUCGGGAAGCUCUUCUUUGCCUUCUGGGUGAUUAUCCACUUGUACCCAUUCCUCAAGGGGCUCAUGGGACGGCAGAACCGCACGCCGACCAUCGUUGUCGUCUGGGCCAUCCUUCUUGCAUCCAUUUUCUCCUUGCUGUGGGUUCGCAUUGACCCGUUCACAACAAGAGUCACUGGGCCAGAUAUCCAAAUGUGUGGCAUCAACUGCUAG